AAAGCUACAUCAGUAUCCGUGCCCUUGCGGAUUUUUCUGUUUGCGUUUAAAAUACCCAACAAGCUUUCUGGAGCCGUUGCCGGGGAACGGUAGCUGUGCUAGUUUCGAACCAAGUCGUCCGUGUAUCCUUUUUCUUUUCCUUUUUUUUACCACACUCACCUUAUCAUUUUCACCAUACCACAUGGAUUUCGCUCUAAGCAUUAAUGAGCAUGGAAUUUAUUUCAUAGCCACUUCAUUUACUCCAUGCUCAUAUGCAACAUCUUCACAAUCCAUUGGUCUCUCCAACAUCACCACAUUCGAGAUCUCCAGCCCCCUCAUCCUUUCUAUUUAUAAAAACUUUAAAAGGGCGGUUGUCGAUGGAUAUGUCUAUAUUAAAUAUUGCAGAUCUCGUUGAGUUGAUCUUGAUAUAGGUCAGCGUUGGAGGGGAAACCACUUCGCAGACAUAAAUUGAUGGUUUCCCAAGGACAAGCUUAGUGUCCUAAAACAAGCACUGUUUAGAUUGUAACAUGAGUUUUUAAUUAUUUACAACAUUACCUUGUGUGUUGA
rnacentral:lncRNA from 1 species